rnacentral:rRNA from 1 species
AUUCCAGCUCCAAUAGCGUAUAUUAAAGUUGUUGCAGUUAAAAAGCUCGUAGUUGGACUUCUGAUGUGGGACUGCGCCCCGGUAUUUUGCCGUUGGGUGCGGGCUCGCGUCUUCCUCUCGUAGUUGGAUGGUGCACUUAACUGGGUGCCUUCUGAAUAUGGGACCUUUACUUUGAAAAAAUUAGAGUGUUCAAAGCAGGCAAUCGCUUGAAUACAUUAGCAUGGAAUAAUAGAAUAGGACUUUGGUUCUAUUUUGUUGGUUUCUAGGACCGAAGUAAUGAUUAAUAGGGACAGUUGGGGGCAUUAGUAUUUAAUUGUCAGAGGUGAAAUUCUUGGAUUUAUGAAAGACUAACUACUGCGAAAGCAUUUGCCAAGGAUGUUUUCAUUA